rnacentral:lncRNA from 1 species
ACUGGCCCAGCCCACAUGGAAGGCUUCUCUGUGCUCCCAGCGUCAGGCAAUAAGCACCUUCAUGUAGGACCUCCCAUAACGCUCAAGACAACCUCGAGAGACGAGGAAUCUGAUUAUGCCCAUUUUAUAGAUGGCGAAAUGGAGGCGUGAAGGCUGAAUUAGGCAAAACGUGGUUCUCCCACACCCUGGCCACUCUGGGCCUCUCUGUGGGCUUAUGUUCACCCGUGGAGCUCAGAGGCCAAGCUCAGUGCUAGCAAGGGGUGGUCACGGCCACCAAGGGAGGGACAGAGAGGGAAUGGCCACAGGCUCAGUGACCUGGAGGCUCUGCGGGAGCAGGAGGGGGCCACAGGUGAGGGAGGGUACAGGUGUCAGUCACAGGGAUGGAUGGACAACCUGGGACUCCCAACGGGCACCAGGGCACGAGGCAAGGCCAUGCCCAGCCAGAGCCCAACACUCAACACAUCUACGAGGCACCCACAGUGUGCCCAGCACUGCUCUAGAACCUGGGACACAGACAGACGUCUCCAC